rnacentral:rRNA from 1 species
UACGUAGGGUGCAAGCGUUGUUCGGAAUCAUUGGGCGUAAAGCGCGUGUAGGCGGUUAGUUAAGUCGAUUGUGGAAUCCCUGGGCUCAACCGAGGAAGUGCAGUCGAAACUAAUUAGCUAGAGGACGGCAGAGGAAGGUGGAAUUCCAAGUGUAGAGGUGAAAUUCGUAGAUAUUUGGAGGAAUACCGGUGGCGAAGGCGGCCUUCUGGACCGUUCCUGACGCUGAGACGCGAAAGCGUGGGGAGCAAACAGG